UGUUGUUUAUAUUAGUUUGCUGGAUGAUCGCGUGCUGCACGUAGUAACGGUCGCAGCAUCCCCGCCCGCCCUGGAGUUGAGCACGGAUCGUGAAGCGCAGGUUUUGUUCAGCAGAGGAUUUGGAGCGAGUGCAGCGGAGGACGCAGAAGAGCCGUCGCCAUGUGCAUUUGACAAAUACCCGGGGGCCGUAUGGGCGAGCUGAUGAGGAUGACGAUGGUGAGUGAGCUCUUGCUGUAGAGUCUGAUGGUUUGGUAAUAAUGGACGUCCCAAAUGGCCAGCCCAGUGUCUCCACCUUCACGACCCCGGCCUCAGAGAGGAGCAGCAGUUCUGAGUCGCUCAGUGAGAAGGGC